GACGAACGCUGGCGGCGUGCCUAAUACAUGCAAGUCGAACGAGAGCGACCGGUGCUUGCACUGGUCAAUCUAGUGGCGAACGGGUGAGUAACACGUGGGUAACCUGCCCAUCAGAGGGGGAUAACAUCCGGAAACGGAUGCUAAAACCGCAUAGGUCUUCGAGCCGCAUGGCUUGAAGAGGAAAAGAGGCGCAAGCUUCUGCUGAUGGAUGGACCCGCGGUGCAUUAGCUAGUUGGUGAGGUAACGGCUCACCAAGGCCGUGAUGCAUAGCCGACCUGAGAGGGUGAUCGGCCACAUUGGGACUGAGACAUGGCCCAAACUCCUACGGGAGGCAGCAGUAGGGAAUCUUCCGCAAUGGACGCAAGUCUGACGGAGCAACGCCGCGUGAGUGAAGAAGGUUUUCGGAUCGUAAAACUCUGUUGUUAGAGAAGAACAAGUGCUAGAGUAACUGUUAGCGCCUUGACGGUAUCUAACCAGAAAGCCACGGCUAACUACGUG
rnacentral:rRNA from 1 species